UUGCCAGAUAUUUUUAGCAAAUUCUGUGCAAGGCUGCAGUACCUUGGGCCUAAAGUUCUACCUUUGUUGGGAUGACCAGUUCAUUCCACUCUUUAGGGUAUUAUGAUACAGUUUGUAUAGAGAAGGGAAUCCUUGAAGAACCCAGAGGACUAGAAAGUCCAGGCAAGUAUGUGUUGCUUUCUGGGAAUAUACAUUUAUUUUGUUUCCAUUUUUCCUAAGACCCCUACCAAGGAGGUAAUGGCUCUGGCCAGGUGCCAGCCAGGAAGUUAAACAACAGUACAUUGGCAGCAUUAAGGAUAUUUAUUUAACAGCCCAUUUCUGCAAGGCCAACGUGAAGGGGGUGCUGAACAGGACGGGGAAAUAAAGUGCAAAUUAGUUCAUUCGGCCUCUCAAUUCUAUUCUCUCUACCCUGUAUGUUUGAAAUUUUCUAUAAUAAAAACAAACAAGGUCA